rnacentral:rRNA from 1 species
AUACGUAGGGGGCGAGCGUUGUCCGGAAUUACUGGGCGUAAAGCGCGUGUAGGCGGCCAACCAAGUCUGAUGUGAAAGCCCUGGGCUUUACCUGGGAAGUGCAUUGGAAACUGGCUGGCUUGAGUACUGGAGAGGAAGGGGGAAUUCCCGGUGUAGAGGUGAAAUUCGUAGAGAUCGGGAGGAAUACCAGUGGCGAAGGCGCCCUUCUGGACGGUUACUGACGCUGAGACGCGAAAGCGUGGGGAGCAAACAGGAUUAGAUACCCUGGUAGUCCACGCUGUAAACGAUGAGCACUAGGUGUAGCGGGUACUCAUUCCUGCUGUGCCGUAGCUAACGCGUUAAGUGCUCCGCCUGGGGAUUACGGUCGCAAGACUAAA